rnacentral:rRNA from 1 species
GUCGGCCUGCGCGGAAGAUGUAACGGGGCUAAACCAUGCACCGAAGCUGCGGCAGCGACGCUUAUGCGUUGUUGGGUAGGGGAGCGUUCUGUAAGCCUGUGAAGGUGGCCUGUGAGGGUUGCUGGAGGUAUCAGAAGUGCGAAUGCUGACAUAAGUAACGAUAAAGCGGGUGAAAAGCCCGCUCGCCGGAAGACCAAGGGUUCCUGUCCAACGUUAAUCGGGGCAGGGUGAGUCGACCCCUAAGGCGAGGCCGAAAGGCGUAGUCGAUGGGAAACGGGUUAAUAUUCCCGUACUUGGUGUUACUGCGAAGGGGGGACGGAGAAGGCUAUGUUGGCCGGGCGACGGUUGUCCCGGUUUAAGCGUGUAGGUGUGUGUUCCAGGUAAAUCCGGUUCACUUUAACACUGAGGCGUGAUGACGAGGCACUACGGUGCUGAAGCAACAAAUGCCCUGCUUCCAGGAAAAGCCUCUAAGCAUCAGGUAACAUCAAAUCGUACCCCAAACCGACACAGGUGGUCAGGUAGAGAAUACCAAGGCGCUUGAGAGAACUCGGGUGAAGGAACUAGGCAAAAUGGUGCCGUAACUUCGGGAGAAGGCACGCUGACACGUAGGUGAAGUGAUUUACUCAUGGAGCUGAAGUCAGUCGAAGAUACCAGCUGGCUGCAACUGUUUAUUAAAAACACAGCACUGUGCAAACACGAAAGUGGACGUAUACGGUGUGACGCCUGCCCGGUGCCGGAAGGUUAAUUGAUGGGGUCAGCGCAAGCGAAGCUCCUGAUCGAAGCCCCGGUAAACGGCGGCCGUAACUAUAACGGUCCUAAGGUAGCGAAAUUCCUUGUCGGGUAAGUUCCGACCUGCACGAAUGGCGUAAUGAUGGCCAGGCUGUCUCCACCCGAGACUCAGUGAAAUUGAACUCGCUGUGAAGAUGCAGUGUACCCGCGGCAAGACGGAAAGACCCCGUGAACCUUUACUAUAGCUUGACACUGAACAUUGAGCCUUGAUGUGUAGGAUAGGUGGGAGGCUUUGAAGCGUGGACGCCAGUCUGCGUGGAGCCGACCUUGAAAUACCACCCUUUAAUGUUUGAUGUUCUAACGUGGACCCGUGAUCCGGGUUGCGGACAGUGUCUGGUGGGUAGUUUGACUGGGGCGGUCUCCUCCUAAAGAGUAACGGAGGAGCACGAAGGUUGGCUAAUCCUGGUCGGACAUCAGGAGGUUAGUGCAAUGGCAUAAGCCAGCUUGACUGCGAGCGUGACGGCGCGAGCAGGUGCGAAAGCAGGUCAUAGUGAUCCGGUGGUUCUGAAUGGAAGGGCCAUCGCUCAACGGAUAAAAGGUACUCCGGGGAUAACAGGCUGAUACCGCCCAAGAGUUCAUAUCGACGGCGGUGUUUGGCACCUCGAUGUCGGCUCAUCACAUCCUGGGGCUGAAGUAGGUCCCAAGGGUAUGGCUGUUCGCCAUUUAAAGUGGUACGCGAGCUGGGUUUAGAACGUCGUGAGACAGUUCGGUCCCUAUCUGCCGUGGGCGCUGGAGAACUGAGGGGGGCUGCUCCUAGUACGAGAGGACCGGAGUGGACGCAUCACUGGUGUUCGGGUUGUCAUGCCAAUGGCACUGCCCGGUAGCUAAAUGCGGAAGAGAUAAGUGCUGAAAGCAUCUAAGCACGAAACUUGCCCCGAG